UUUCCCCUCACAGGAAUAAUGUAAAACAAGUUGAAAGCCUUGUGGGUCUGCAGGUGUGGCUUAGCUGAAGGGUAAAGAACAAAUGUAAUACUCUCAUUCACUGGAAUUUAUCUUCAGACUUGAUGACAAGUAUUCUGGCUAAAUACAAGCAAGUUGCCUCUUUCACAGGAAUACAUUUUUCCUGCCUCUCGGUCACACAAGAUCAAAGGGACAAGGUCCCUAUGAGCUUGAGAACAAAGUCAUUCAUGAGAUGAACUUUUGGUGCCCUUAGCAGUUGGGUGCUACCUGUCACUGAUGGGAGUCACACAGAGAUCAGAAACAGCACAACGGAAAGAAAAGAGCUGCUGCAGGAGUUACAAUGGCAGAUGAUGUGCAGCAGGUGCACUGACAGCUCCAACCAGCUAAAAGUGUUCCAGUUGUCCAGAUAAACAGUGUCCAAACCCUGCAGUCCUUGAAAGAUUUCUGUCCUUGUCCAUGGCUUUUCUGAAGAGAUUCCAGUCUCUGCAGUGCCUAUGCAGAGACUGCACUUGUGACUGUGAUGGGACAUGCCACUGGCCAAUAUCCAAAACGUAGUUUGUGGCACACCAUGUAUUCCUCAACUUCAGGCCCCAACACCCUCUCUGAAUUUUGAAGAAGACAACUUAUUUUCAUAUCCAUGGUACCAUAUGUGUUGAUGAGUGUCUGAUUAUAGCAACAUGGAUGUCUGUAUGAAUGAACUUACCCAAUAAAGACAUGACACCAAGUAAUUUCAGCCAUCAAAGUACUUAAUUUGGCAGCUAUCUGGGAUGAAGAUAGCUCAUAACUUUAAAAUGAUUUAACAGGAUAAGUGCCUAAAAAUUCUCCUUGUUGCUGCAUCAUUGAGUAAUGGGACAGAGAAAUACAUCGCUGAUAAAAUAUAAAUGACAUUCUCCACCUUCAAACUCUGCUGGAAUCUCUCCUGAUUGUCAAAAGGAUGAAUUACCUUGCUGCUCAGCCUUGGUGCAAUGCUGUAUAUGCUGGAUCUGAUCCAAGCUAGAAUGUAUCCUGAAAAUCUCCUCAGAAAAGUCCAUCUAAUUUAUUUCCCUUCUGGGAUCAAGAAAAUCAAAAUGGUCACAUUUUGCAUGGUGGUUUCCAGCACACAGAUAUUGGUAUUCCGCCCACAACAUGGAGACAAAAUUAAAGUUGCCAUGGAUUUAUUAGAGGUACAAUUUUAUGUGGCAUACUAUGACCUACCUUGUCUUUAUUUCAAAGUAAAGGCUUGCUAACAAUCUAGAGCAUCCCCUGGAAUUCUUUCCGGAAAGAACCAUCAGCAUG